GACGAACGCUGGCGGCGUGCCUAAUACAUGCAAGUCGAACGCAGUGGGGCCGGGUGAGUAACACGUGGGUAACCUCCCAUCAGAGGGGAUAACCCUUGGAAACAGGUGCUAAACCGAUACUGAUGGAUGGACCCGCGGUGCAUUAGCUAGUUGGUGAGGUAAUGGCUCACCAAGGACCAGAUGCAUAUCAGACCGGAGAGGGUGACCGGCCACACUGGGACUGAGACACGGCCCAGACUCCUACGGGAGGCAGCAGUAGGGAAGCUUCGGCAAUGGACGAAAGUCUGACCGAGCAACGCCGCGUGAGUGAAUAAGGUUUUCGGAUCGUAAAACUCUGUUGUUAGAGAAGCGGUAUCUAACCAGAAAGCCACGGCUAACUACGUGCCAGCCGCCGCGGUAAUAC
rnacentral:rRNA from 1 species